UACGGAGGAUGCAAGCGUUAUCCGGAAUGAUUGGGCGUAAAGCGUCCGCAGGUGGCUGUGUAAGUCUGCUGUUAAAGAGUCAUGCUCAACAUGAUAAGAGCAGUGAAAACUACACGGCUAGAGUGCGUUCGGGGCAGAGGGAAUUCCUGGUGUAGCGGUGAAAUGCGUAGAGAUCAGGAAGAACACCGGUGGCGAAAGCGCUCUGCUAGGCCGCAACUGACACUGAGGGACGAAAGCUAGGGGAGCGAAUGGG
rnacentral:rRNA from 1 species